AUUGAACGCUGGCGGCAUGCCUUACACAUGCAAGUCGAACGGCAGCACGGGAGCAAUCCUGGUGGCGAGUGGCGAACGGGCGAGUAAUGUAUCGGAACGUGCCCAGUCGUGGGGGAUAACGUAGCGAAAGCUACGCUAAUACCGCAUACGAUCUAUGGAUGAAAGCGGGGGAUCGCAAGACCUCGCGCGAUUGGAGCGGCCGAUAUCAGAUUAGGUAGUUGGUGGGGUAAAGGCUCACCAAGCCGACGAUCUGUAGCUGGUCUGAGAGGACGACCAGCCACACUGGGACUGAGACACGGCCCAGACUCCUACGGGAGGCAGCAGUGGGGAAUUUUGGACAAUGGGCGCAAGCCUGAUCCAGCAAUGCCGCGUGCAGGAUGAAGGCCUUCGGGUUGUAAACUGCUUUUGUACGGAACGAAACGGCGAGCUCUAAUACAGUUUGCUAAUGACGGUACCGUAAGAAUAAGCACCGGCUAACUACGUGCCAGCAGCCGCAGUAA
rnacentral:rRNA from 1 species